CGAGUUGUAGCCUCGUGCACGGGCCAAGAGCCCCCCGACCA
rnacentral:tRNA from 1 species